rnacentral:rRNA from 1 species
GACGAACGCUGGCGGCGUGCUUAACACAUGCAAGUCGAACGGAAAGGCCCUGCUUUUGUGGGGUGCUCGAGUGGCGAACGGGUGAGUAACACGUGAGUAACCUGCCCUUGACUUUGGGAUAACUUCAGGAAACUGGGGCUAAUACCGGAUAGGAGCUCCUGCUGCAUGGUGGGGGUUGGAAAGUUUCGGCGGUUGGGGAUGGACUCGCGGCUUAUCAGCUUGUUGGUGGGGUAGUGGCUUACCAAGGCUUUGACGGGUAGCCGGCCUGAGAGGGUGACCGGCCGCAUUGGGACUGAGAUACGGCCCAGACUCCUACGGGAGGCAGCAGUGGGGAAUAUUGCACAAUGGGCGGAAGCCUGAUGCAGCAACGCCGCGUGCGGGAUGACGGCCUUCGGGUUGUACACCGCUUUCGCCUGUGACGAAGCGUGAGUGACGGUAAUGGGUAAAGAAGCACCGGCUAACUACGUG